AUUUUCACCUGUAUCUUUAAUUAGUUUAUGGACUAUUAGUUGCACUUGGUUUAGGAUGCUGAGUUAAAAAAUUGAUUAUUUUGGAGCCAGAGCAGAGCAUCAUGCUCAUAUAAGUGUAAAUGAUAACGCUCACACAUGUAUGCAUGUAUGCAUGCAAAUACAUAGGCACACUGCACAUGCACAAAAGGCUGAAGUUGAUGUCAAGAA
rnacentral:misc_RNA from 1 species